GAUAAACGCUGGCGGCGUGCCUAACACAUGCAAGUCGAACGAUCCCGCAAGGGAGAGUGGCGGAAGGGUGAGUAACACGUGGGAAUCUACCUCCUCGCAGGGAACAACCUCUCGAAAGAGAGGCUAAUACCCAAAAGGGUCAGAAAUGAUCAGAGUCGAAAGGCGUGAGGAGAGGAGCCCGCGGCCCAUCAGCUAGUUGGUGAGGUAAUGGCUUACCAAGGCUACGACGGGUAGGGGAUCUGAGAGGAUGUCCCCCACACUGGAACUGAAACACGGUCCAGACGCCUACGGGUGGCAGCAGUGAGGAAUAUUGGACAAUGGGCGAAAGCCCGAUCCAGCAACGCCGCGUGGAGGGUGAAGGCCUUCGGUCGGUAAACUUACUUUAGUAGGGAGGACGAGAAAGGAAC
rnacentral:rRNA from 1 species